CCUACGGGGGGCUGCAGUGGGGAAUAUUGCGCAAUGGGCGAAAGCCUGACGCAGCGACGCCGCGUGGGUGAUGAAGGCCUUCGGGUUGUAAAGCCCUGUCGGGUGGAACGAACGAUCUGGCGGCGAAUAACCGCCGAACCUUGACGUUACUGACAGAAGAAGCACCGUCUAACUCUGUGCCAGCAGCCGCGGUAAUACAGAGGGUGCAAGCGUUGAUCGGAAUCACUGGGGGUAAUGCGUGCGUGGUGUGAAAUCCCCGGGCUUAACCUGUGAACUGCAUUCGAUACUACAUGGCUAGAGUAUGGUAGAGGGAAGUGGAAUUUCCGGUGUAGCGGUGAAAUGCGUAGAUAUCGGAAGGAACACCAAUGGCGAAGGCAGCUUCCUGGACUAAUACUGACACUGAGGCACGAAAGCGUGGGUAGCAAACAGGAUUAGAUACCCUUGUAGUC
rnacentral:rRNA from 1 species